AUAUAUAUAUAUAUAAUGAAAUGAAGGUGAUUAUAAAUUUGUGAGUGUUGGAAGUGCAUGUACAGUAUGUAUUUAUAAAUUUUCAUACCAUUAUUACAGGCUUAUAUAAAUUUUGUUAAACAACAACAAUAAAAAAAUGAUAAUAAUAAAUAAAGCACUGCAAAGAUUUUUUUUUAAUUCAAAAAAGCUAAAAAUGCUAAAAAUUUGACCAAGGGCGAGUCAUUNNN
rnacentral:lncRNA from 1 species